rnacentral:misc_RNA from 1 species
UGUAAGAGUGUGUCAAUCAGGUAGAGAGGAACGUAAUGUCCAAUCUAGAACAGUUUAUGGUAGCAAUGCGACUAGAACAGAAGCAGCGCAUGACCUCUUUUCAGCAAGAGCAAGAGCAACAUUUUAACAAAUUAGAAAGGAUGAUUGCCUCCUUGGCUCGAGGAAAAUCAACAUUCUUGGAGGGGGACUCUUCCUCUCAAGCAACUCCAGGGAGCACGUUUCAAACCAUUCCACCAGCUGCUAAUGCACUUGUGGUUGAGGAAUUCCUUAUGGCUGUUAAAAAAAUUGAGUUGCCAAAUUUUGACAGAGUGGACCCUGUGGGAUGGUUAGCAAGAGCAGAACAGUAUUUUUCAAUUAACAAAACUACUGAUGAGAUGAAAGUUGAACUAGCUUUGAACUGUAUGGAAGGACCUGCCCCUUCAUUGUAUGCAUUGGUUAUGCCAGCGCACUCCUACUAUUUCAUGG